rnacentral:rRNA from 1 species
ACUCCUACGGGAGGCAGCAGUGGGGAAUCUUGGACAAUGGGCGCAAGCCUGAUCCAGCCAUGCCGCGUGAGUGAUGAAGGCCCUAGGGUCGUAAAGCUCUUUCGCCAGGGAUGAUAAUGACAGUACCUGGUAAAGAAACCCGGCUAACUCCGUGCCAGCAGCCGCGGUAAUACGGAGGGGGUUAGCGUUGUUCGGAAUUACUGGGCGUAAAGCGCGCGUAGGCGGAUUAAUAAGUUGGGGGUGAAAUCCCGGGGCUCAACCCCGGGAACUGCCUCCAAAACUGUUAGUCUUGAGUUCGAGAGAGGUGAGUGGAAUUCCGAGUGUAGAGGUGAAAUUCGUAGAUAUUCGGAGGAACACCAGUGGCGAAGGCGGCUCACUGGCUCGAUACUGACGCUGAGGUGCGAAAGCGUGGGAGCAAACAGGAUUACGAUACCCUGGUAGCGACUGA